rnacentral:rRNA from 1 species
UACGAAGGGGGCUAGCGUUGCUCGGAAUCACUGGGCGUAAAGGGUGCGUAGGCGGGUCUUUAAGUCAGGGGUGAAAUCCUGGAGCUCAACUCCAGAACUGCCUUUGAUACUGAAGAUCUUGAGUUCGGGAGAGGUGAGUGGAACUGCGAGUGUAGAGGUGAAAUUCGUAGAUAUUCGCAAGAACACCAGUGGCGAAGGCGGCUCACUGGCCCGAUACUGACGCUGAGGCACGAAAGCGUGGGGAGCAACCAGGG